rnacentral:lncRNA from 1 species
AUAGACAACCCAAGAGGGGGGGUGAAUUGGGUUUUAAAUUAAUUUAGAUAUUUAAAACUUUAAGGAUGAUUAAUUAAAAACUAUUGCAAGUUAUUUAAUUAAUGCUAAGUGCUGUGAGUGAUGUGAGAGGAAGAAGAGAAGAGGCAAUCCAAUGCAAACACAGAGUUUUAUAGUGGUUCGGAGCUACCCCUUGCUCCUACGUCCACUCUCCAAGUCUCUCUUGGGAAUUCACUAUAACCCCCUUGGAUUACAGCUGGUUGUUUUGCAAGCUCACAACCAAACUUGUUGUUUUACGAGCUCACAACGAACUCGGUCGGUUUUUCCAGGCUCACCGACUAGAACCAACCCCGAUUGUUUUCCCGGGCU